AUUGAACGCUGGCGGCAGGCCUAACACAUGCAAGUCGAGCGAGCGGCGGACGGGUGAGUAAUGUAUGGGGAUCUGCCCGAUGGAGGGGGAUAACUACUGGAAACGGUAGCUAAUACCGCAUACUAUCGGAUGAACCCAUAUGGGAUUAGCUAGUAGGUGGGGUAAAGGCUCACCUAGGCGACGAUCUCUAGCUGGUCUGAGAGGAUGACCAGCCACACUGGGACUGAGACACGGCCCAGACUCCUACGGGAGGCAGCAGUGGGGAAUAUUGCGCAAUGGGCGCAAUCCUGACGCAGCCAUGCCGCGUGAAGGAAGAAGGCCUUCGGGUUGUAAAGUUCUUUCGGUAGGGAGGCGUUACCUACAGAAGAAGCACCGGCUAACUCCGUGCCAGCCGCCGCGGUAAUAC
rnacentral:rRNA from 1 species